rnacentral:rRNA from 1 species
GAGUUUGAUCCUGGCUCAGAACGAACGCUGGCGGCAGGCCUAAAACAUGCAAGUCGAACGGGUGUAGCAAUACAUCAGUGGCGCACGGGUGAGUAACGCGUGGGAACAUGCCCCUUAGUACGGGACAACGUCGGGAAACUGACGCUAAUACCGUAUAAUAUCUCCGGAUCAAAGAUUUAUCGCUGAGGGAGUGGCCCGCGUCUGAUUAGCUAGUUGGUGAGGUAAUGGCUCACCAAGGCUACGAUCAGUAGCAGGUCUGAGAGGAUGAUCUGCCACACUGGGACUGAGACAC